CGGGACGGGUGAGUAACGCGUGGGUAACCUGCCUUGUACUGGGGGACAACAGUUAGAAAUGACUGCUAAUACCGCAUAAGCGCACAGUAUCGCAUGAUACAGUGUGAAAAACUCCGGUGGUACAAGAUGGACCCGCGUCUGAUUAGCUAGUUGGUAAGGUAACGGCUUACCAAGGCGACGAUCAGUAGCCGACCUGAGAGGGUGGCCGGCCACAUUGGGACUGAGACACGGCCCAA
rnacentral:rRNA from 1 species